rnacentral:rRNA from 1 species
AUGAAGACUAUGUUCAUCCUCGCUCUCAUUGCCGCGGCGACCAGCGUCGUUGCGCAGCUGGACACUACAUGCAGCCAGGGCUAUGGGCAAUGCCAGCAGCAGCCGCAGCAGCAGGUGAACACAUGCUCUGCCCUCCUGCAGCAGUGUAGCCCGACACCAUAUGUCCAGUCACAGAUGUGGCGGGCAAGCGGUUGCCAGUUGAUGCGGCAACAGUGCUGCCAGCCGCUGGCCCAGAUCUCAGAGCAGGCUCGGUGCCAGGCUGUCUGCAGCGUGGCCCAGGUCAUCAUGCGACAGCAGCAAGGGCAAAGUUUCGGUCAGCCUCAGCAACAAGUGCAAAGUUUCAGCCAGCCUCAGCACCAGGUUCCGAUUGAGAUAACGAGGAUGGUGCUCCAGACCCUUCCAUCGAUGUGCAACGUGAACAUCCCGCAAUAUUGCACCACCACCCCAUGCAGGACCAUCACUCAGACCCCCUACAACAUCCCUAUGACCGCUACCUGUGUUGGUGGUACCUGCUAA